ensembl:lncRNA
CAUUAACGCUGACAAUAAACCGGAAGUAGACGAAGUAGAAGUGGGAGGUCCCGUACCGGGAAAAAAAAGGCGGCAAGACUGUUGCAUUUAAAAUGCGCGGGAUACCUGCGCUGCUUCACAUUCACACGGAGCUGUAGUUGUUGGAGUGUUGGAGAUCCACCACUACAUUACAGGAUAAAUCCUGGAAACCUCUGGUUAAAAAUGGAACAGAAGUUGGAACAAAUUGACAAAACUGUUGAGAUGGAAAAAAUGGAGAACCCGAAUGUGGAGAUCAGUCAAUCCAGUAAUUCACCACUUGUUGCAAAUGGUUUGUCAUAUUUCAUUUUAGCCAGAAUAAACUAUAGAUUAUUUAAUUGAGAGUUGCUUCUCUCUCUCUCUCUCUCUCUCUCUCUCCUAUAUAUAUAUAUAUAUUUAUUUCAGUAAUUGUUAACAUUUCUUGUUUCAUGAUUGGGGGAAAAUUAUUUGGUAUGUUUGUUUAUAUCUCACUUCAACCGUCUUUUGUGAGACAAGUGGUGUUGCUUUUAACAAAAUAAAAUAUAUUUUAAUGUGAGUGAAUUAAAUAAGAGUUUUUUCUCAUUCUCAGGUAGAGGAGCCACACCCAACCCAUUCUUUUUGUGUGGUGCUUUCAAGGCAAGUUCACGUCU